rnacentral:rRNA from 1 species
AAUUGAAGCAGAGGACAGUGGCGGACGGGUGAGUAACGCGUGAGGAACCUGCCUUGGAGAGGGGAAUAACACUCCGAAAGGAGUGCUAAUACCGCAUAAUGCAGUUGGGUCGCAUGGCUCUGACUGCCAAAGAUUUAUCGCUCUGAGAUGGCCUCGCGUCUGAUUAGCUAGUAGGCGGGGUAACGGCCCACCUAGGCGACGAUCAGUAGCCGGACUGAGAGGUUGACCGGCCACAUUGGGACUGAGACACGGCCCAGACUCC